rnacentral:rRNA from 1 species
GACGAACGCUGGCGGCGUGCUUAACACAUGCAAGUCGAACGGAAAGGCCUGCUUUCCCUUGUGGAUUGCGGGUACUCGAGUGGCGAACGGGUGAGUAACACGUGAGUGAUCUGCCCCCAACUUGGGUAUAAGCCUGGGAAACUGGGUCUAAUUCCCGAUAGGACUGCAGGGUGGUGCCUGUGGUGGAAAACGAUUUUCUAGUGGUUGGGGAUGAGCUCGCGGCCUAUCAGCUUGUUGGUGGGGCAAUGGCCUACCAAGGCGGCGACGGGUAGCCGGCCUGAGAGGGUGGACGGCCACAUUGGGACUGAGAUACGGCCCAGACUCCUACGGGAGGCAGCAGUGGGGAAUAUUGCACAAUGGGCGGAAGCCUGAUGCAGCGACGCCGCGUGGGGGAUGACGGCCUUCGGGUUGUAAACUCCUUUCGACCGCGAGGAAGCCACCUGGUUGGAAGGGUGGUGACGGUAGUGGUAGAAGAAGCACCGGCUAACUACGUG